rnacentral:rRNA from 1 species
GAUGAACGCUGGCGGCGUGCCUAAUACAUGCAAGUCGAGCGAACGGACGAGAAGCUUGCUUCUCUGAUGUUAGCGGCGGACGGGUGAGUAACACGUGGAUAACCUACCUAUAAGACUGGGAUAACUUCGGGAAACCGGAGCUAAUACCGGAUAAUAUUUUGAACCGCAUGGUUCAAAAGUGAAAGACGGUCUUGCUGUCACUUAUAGAUGGAUCCGCGCUGCAUUAGAUAGUUGGUAAGGUAACGGCUUACCAAGGCAACGAUGCAUAGCCGACCUGAGAGGGUGAUCGGCCACACGGGAAGUGAGACACGGUCCAGACUCCUACGGGAGGCAGCAGUAGGGAAUCUUCCGCAAUGGGCGAAAGCCUGACGGAGCAACGCCGCGUGAGUGAUGAAGGUCUUCGGAUCGUAAAACUCUGUUAUUAGGGAAGAACAUAUGUGUAAGUAACUGUGCACAUCUUGACGGUACCUAAUAAGAAAGCCACGGCUAACUACGUG